rnacentral:rRNA from 1 species
UACAGAGGGUGCGAGCGUUAAUCGGAAUGACUGGGCGUAAAGGGCGCGUAGGUGGUGAGAUAAGUUUUAGGCGAAAGGCUGGGGCUUAACCCUGGAGAGACCUAGGAGACUGUUUUACUAGAGUGAGGGAGAGGUAAGUGGAAUUUCCGGUGUAGCGGUGAAAUGCGUAGAGAUCGGAAGGAACAUCAGUGGCGAAGGCGACUUACUGGCCCAUCACUGACACUGAGGCGCGAGAGCAUGGGUAGCGAACAGG